AACCUACUGCAGGUAGCAAACAGCAGUGCCACAACAAACAGUGGAGUGCUGACCAUGCAGUACAGAAGGUGGCUGAGGAAGCAUCUUCAAAAGGCAGUGCUACAAGGAUGUGAGCAGCAGUUUCCCUUCAACGAACGGGUCAAACUCAUGGAAGCCACGUGCCUGCUGCUUCUGGCCUACACAAACAUGCAGCCACCAUAGUAAAGUUCUUGCAAAGACAUUCUACACGAACUUGCCCAAAGGCGGAAGGAAGGCACGCACAGAUGGACGCACAGAAAUCAUGGGGCUGCCGUAGAAGCUGUGAAUGAGCAUUAACCUACGUACAGAAAGGAGCGAAGUGGAGCUGUCCAUGGGCCGUGCACACAGUUUCAUAAGCGGGCUUGCAACACUUUUGACAAAUAUGUUCCUGAAUACAUCUGCCAAAGUGGCAUUUAAAGAAGCA